rnacentral:rRNA from 1 species
UACGUAGGGUGCGAGCGUUGCCCGGAUUUAUUGGGCGUAAAGGGCGCGUAGGCGGCUUUGCAAGUCGGGUGUGAAAGCCCUCAGCUCAACUGAGGAAGUGCGCCCGAAACUGCAGAGCUUGAGUGCCGGAGAGGGUGGCGGAAUUCCCCAAGUAGAGGUGAAAUUCGUAGAUAUGGGGAGGAACACCGGUGGCGAAGGCGGCCACCUGGACGGUAACUGACGCUGAGACGCGAAAGCGUGGGGAGCAAACAGG